rnacentral:rRNA from 1 species
UACGUAGGGGGCAAGCGUUGUCCGGAUUUAUUGGGCGUAAAGAGCGUGUAGGCGGCCAGACAGGUCCGUUGUGAAAACUCGAGGCUCAACCUCGAGACGCCGAUGGAAACCGUCUGGCUAGAGUCCGGAAGAGGAGAGUGGAACUCCUGGUGUAGCGGUGAAAUGCGCAGAUAUCAGGAAGAACACCCGUGGCUAAGGCGGCUCUCUAGUACGGUACUGACGCUGAGACGCGAAAGCGUGGGGAGCGAACAGG